rnacentral:rRNA from 1 species
GAUGAACGCUGGCGGCGUGCCUAACACAUGCAAGUCGAACGGAGUCGUUUUGGAAAUCUCUUCGGAGAUGGAAUUCUCGACUUAGUGGCGGACGGGUGAGUAACGCGUGAGCAAUCUGCCUUUAAGAGGGGGAUAACAGUCGGAAACGGCUGCUAAUACCGCAUAAAGCAUUAAAUUCGCAUGUUUUUGAUGCCAAAGGGGCAAUCCGCUUUUAGAUGAGCGCGCGUCUGAUUAGCUAGUUGGCGGGGUAACGGCCCACCAAGGCGACGAUCAGUAGCCGGAAUGAGAGGUUGAACGGCCACAUUGGGACUGAGACACGGCGCAGACUCCUACGGGAGGCAGCAGUGGGGAAUAUUGCGCAAUGGGGGAAACCGUGACGAAGCAACGCCGCGUGAUUGAAGAAGGCCUUCGGGUUGUAAAGAUCUUUAAUCAGGGACGAAACAAAUGACGGUACCUGAAGAGUAAGCGCAGGCUAACUACGUG